rnacentral:rRNA from 1 species
GACGAACGCUGGCGGCGUGCUUAACACAUGCAAGUCGAACGGGAUAAUUUGAGAGCUUGCUCUUAGAGAAUCUAGUGGCAAACGGGUGAGUAACACGUAGACAACCUGCCGACAGGAUGGGGACAACAUUCCGAAAGGAAUGCUAAUACCGAAUGAAGCGGAGGAGAGGCAUCUCUCCUCCGUGAAAGAUGGCCUCUGAAUAUGCUAUCACCUGUCGAUGGGUCUGCGUCUGAUUAGCUAGUUGGUGAGGUAACGGCUCACCAAGGCGACGAUCAGUAGCCGGUCUGAGAGGAUGAACGGCCACAUUGGGACUGAGACACGGCCCAGACUCCUACGGGAGGCAGCAGUGGGGAAUCUUCCGCAAUGGGCGCAAGCCUGACGGAGCAACGCCGCGUGAGUGAAGAAGGGCUUCGGAUCGUAAAGCUCUGUUGACGGGGACGAACGUGCGAAGGGUGAAUAAGCCUUUGUAAUGACGGUACCUGUCGAGGAAGCCACGGCUAACUACGUG